AGGCCAGAAGAGGGUGUUGGGUCCCCAGGAGCUGGAGUUAUAGGUGGUUUCAAGUCACCACAUAGGUUCUGGGAACUGAAUUCAGGUCCUCUGGAAGAGCAGUACAUGUUCUUAACCACUGAACCAUCUCUCCAGCCCACUAAUUUUACAUUAAAAAAAUCAUUUAGUAUAAAAUCUAGUUAUUAUUUAAAAAAUGUAACAUAGGGAAAGACUACCAUUAACAAUAUGUUAAUGAGUAAAUUCUUUGGGAAAACCUUUUUUUUUUAAAGUGAUUUAUUUAUUUACAUUGGUGCAUCUGUGUAAUGAUAUUGGAUCCCCUGGAAGUGGAAUUACAGACAGUUGUGAGCUGCCAUGUGGGUGCUGGGAAUUGAUCCCAGGUCCUCUGGAAGAGCAGCCAGUGCUCUUAACCGCUGAGCCAUCUCUCCAGCCCCCAGGAAAACCAUUUUACAAUAAUCCAGUAAAGGGGGCGGUGGUGGAGCACACCUUUAAUCCCAGCACUCGGGAGGCAGAGGCAGGAAGAUCUCUGUGAGUUCGAGGCCAGCCUGGGCUACAGAGUGAGUUCCAGGACAGCCACUACACAGAGAAAUCCUGUCUCAAAAAACAGAAAAGAAAAGAAACAGAGGCAAGUGGAUCUCUGAGUUCCAGGCUGGCCAGAGCUACAUAGCAAGACAGUAAUGCGGCAAAGGCCGAUGGCGUGCUCCCCAUUCUUCAGUUGGUACCCAUCUUGUAACAGCUGUACUUGCCACUACCAUGUUCUAUCAGUCUUCAGUGACAAAACUCACUGAACGUCUGCAAUGGUCCUCUCCCUUAAGCUUCUGUCUCCAGUCAGGCACAGGUGACACUACUUGACAGGUCUACUUAUACACUCUAUCAGAGCCACGUCACCUAGGAUGUGUGCCAUAGACUCUUUAUUAUAACAAAUGCUUUCUGCCCUUACCUGAUGAACCAUUAAAGACUGGACCUGUCGCUUGAGGACCUGCAUUCUAGCUGUUGUGACAACCGACCGCACAUCAGGUACCACGCUCUCACUGAGGAUCUCACUGAUGAGGCGGUGGUUUCUCUGGAAACGGGCGGUGGCUGUAUGCUUCAUUGAAAAGCCAUCAUCAUAAUCUGGAAUGAAGGAAAUGUCCUGGAAAUUAGGUGGCUAGUAACCAGAACAAGGUUAACAAGCAAUUACCAAUAUCAUCUUCGCACACCUGGUAGCAAUCUGCACUAAUAUCUUAUUAACGAUCAAUCCAUGUGAGUCUAUUAAAUGGGUAACAGAA